GAGUUCGUAGCUCAGCUGGUUAGAGCGCUACGUUGACAUCGUAGAGGUCCCCAGUUCGAAUCUGGGCGAACUCA
rnacentral:tRNA from 1 species